AACGCGAAGAACCUUACCUGGGCUUGAACCGCUACUGACCAACGGUAGAAAUAUCGUCUUCCCGCAAGGGACAGUAGUAGAGGUGCUGCAUGGCUGUCGUCAGCUCGUGCCGUGAGGUGUUGGGUUAAGUCCCGCAACGAGCGCAACCCUUAUUCGUAGUUGCCACCCGCAAGGGGGAACUCUACGAGGACUGCUCCGGAUAACGGAGAGGAAGGUGGGGAUGACGUCAAGUCAGCACGGCCUUUAUGUCCAGGGCUACACACGUGUUACAAUGCACGGUACAGACUGUUGCGAACCCGCGAGGGGGAGCUAAUCGGAGAAAGCCGUGCUCAGUUCGGAUUGCAGUCUGCAACUCGACUGCAUGAAGCUGGAAUCGCUAGUAAUGGCGUAUCAGAUCGACGCCGUGAAUACGUUCCCGGGCCUUGUA
rnacentral:rRNA from 1 species